rnacentral:lncRNA from 1 species
CUCCCAGCUGCAAAAGCAACUAUGGCUUUCUUUGUUCCCCCACCUGUGGAGUCAGCACACCAGAUAGAUUGACGCGCUGCCCCAAGUUCUGGCCAGGAGACUUCUCCCUCAGUUCAAAUUGUUACAAAAUUCAGCUGGAGAUUUCCUUCUCCCUGUGGCCUUUUCCCAGCACCUUUGGCCAUCCUCCCAAAGCGCCUCUGUGAGGCCAGGCAAAAACAGCUUGCCAGGGGACCCAGCGAGCUCCCACGGCUUUUCCCACUGCUUCCUCUACCCCUGUAUUUCACUGGCUUUCUAAAUUUACUCAGCUCCAGAUUCAAUGACUUCUGUUUGGGAGGAGUGAAAAAACAAAUCAGAAAUUGAGAAAAUCAUUGAGAAGUGAAUAACGAAGCAGGCUGCAAAUGUUCUCAGAGUCCAAUAUCCUUCAUUGUUGGGAACAGCAGAAGAAUAUAAAC